CCGCGGUAAUACAGAGGUCUCAAGCGUUGUUCGGAAUCACUGGGCGUAAAGGGUGCGUAGGUGGCGUGGUAAGUCAGAUGUGAAAGCCCAGGGCUCAACCCUGGAAUUGCAUCCGAUACUGCCGUGCUAGAGAACUGAAGGGGAGUCUGGAAUUCUCGGUGUAGCAGUGAAAUGCGUAGAUAUCGAGAGGAACACCAAUGGCGAAGGCAAGACUCCGGGCAGUUUCUGACACUGAGGCACGAAGGCCAGG
rnacentral:rRNA from 1 species